rnacentral:lncRNA from 1 species
AACCUUAAAAUUCAGGAGCUAAGGAGAUGACUGUCUGAAGAAAAGCACCUAAGGGAAUCUCUUGAGAAACCUGGAUCAGCCAUGCUACUCAAAAUACAAGAAAUGGGAUCAACAGUGGAGGUGGAACGGAAACAGGUGCAAAUUUUGCAGCAAAACUGUGUUGCCCUAACGCAUUUCUAUUCAGACCAACCAAGAACUACUGGCACAGGAGCGACAACAGAAAGGGGAG